rnacentral:rRNA from 1 species
GUGGGGAAUAUUGGGCAAUGGGCGCAAGCCUGACCCAGCAACGCCGCGUGAGGGAAGAAGGCUUUCGGGUUGUAAACCUCUGUCCUUGGUGACGAAACAAAUGACGGUAGCCAAGGAGGAAGCCCCGGCUAACUACGUGCCAGCAGCCGCGGUAAUACGUAGGGGGCGAGCGUUGUCCGGAAUUACUGGGCGUAAAGGGUGCGUAGGUGGCCUUUUAAGUUGGAUGUGAAAUACCCGGGCUUAACUUGGGGGGUGCAUCCAAAACUGGGAGGCUAGAGUGCAGGAGAGGAAAGCUGAAUUCCUAGUGUAGCGGUGAAAUGCGUAGAUAUUAGGAGGAACACCAGUGGCGAAGGCGGCUUUCUGGACUGUAACUGACACUGAGGCACGAAAGCGUGGGGAGCAAACAGGAUUAGAAACCCUUGUAGUCC